AUUGAACGCUGGCGGCAGGCUUAACACAUGCAAGUCGAGCGAGUGGCGAACGGGUGAGUAAUGUCUGGGAAAGUGCCUGGUGGAGGGGGAUAACUACUGGAAACGGUAGCUAAUACCGCAUACCAUCAGAUGUGCCCAGAUGGGAUUAGCUAGUAGGUGGGGUAAUGGCUCACCAAGGCGACGAUCCCUAGCUGGUCUGAGAGGAUGACCCGCCACACUGGAACUGAGACACGGUCCAGACUCCUACGGGAGGCAGCAGUGGGGAAUAUUGCACAAUGGGCGCAAGCCUGAUGCAGCCAUGCCGCGUGUGUGAAGAAGGCCUUCGGGUUGUAAAGCACUUUUAGCGGGGAGGCGUUACCCGCAGAAGAAGCACCGGCUAACUCCGUGCCAGCCGCCGCGGUAAUUC
rnacentral:rRNA from 1 species